rnacentral:rRNA from 1 species
UACAGAGGUCUCAAGCGUUGUUCGGAUUCAUUGGGCGUAAAGGGUGCGUAGGUGGCGCCGUAAGUCGGGUGUGAAAUUUCGAGGCUUAACCUCGAAACUGCAUUCGAUACUGCGGUGCUUGAGGACUGGAGAGGAGACUGGAAUUCCUGGUGUAGCGGUGAAAUGCGCAGAUAUCAGGAGGAACACCGGUGGCGAAGGCGGGUCUCUGGGCCGUAACUGACGCUGAGGAGCGAAAGCGUGGGGAGCGAACAGG